rnacentral:rRNA from 1 species
ACGCACGCUGGCGGCGUGCUUAACACCUGCAAGUCGCACGCUGAAGCUCAGCUUGCUGGGUGGAUGAGUGGCGAACGGGUGAGUAACACGUGAGUAACCUGCCCUCUUCUUUGGGAUAACGCCCGGAAACGGGUGCUAAUACUGGAUAUUCACUGAUUCUCGCAUGGGGGUUGGUGGAAAGGUUUUUUCUGGUGGGGGAUGGGCUCGCGGCCUAUCAGCUUGUUGGUGGGGUGAUGGCCUACCAAGGCUUUGACGGGUAGCCGGCCUGAGAGGGUGACCGGUCACAUUGGGACUGAGAUACGGCCCAGACUCCUACGGGAGGCAGCAGUGGGGAAUAUUGCACAAUGGGCGAAAGCCUGAUGCAGCGACGCCGCGUGAGGGAUGGAGGCCUUCGGGUUGUAAACCUCUUUCGCUCAUGGUCAAGCCGCAGCUUGGGGUUGUGGUGAGGGUAGUGGGUAAAGAAGCGCCGGCUAACUACGUG